CCCUCAGACCAGACUUUCUUGAACAGCUAACGGAUAAGGUUUUCCUCUGAGCUGUGGGGGUUGGAAAAGUGGGAGCCUGGUUCCAGCCACAUCCCUGGCUGGCUACAGUCCUGUGCAGACAUUCCAGAUGGCGUCCAUGGGGAGAAAGCUUGUCUCACUGCAGAAGUGCUGGAGAAGGCAAGGUGUGGCCUGCACAGGUCCUGCAGAUGACAGCUUUGCCACUUCCCGUUUUGUGUGAGGAGCGGGGAGCUGCUGAAAGUUUUUCUUGGGCUAGGACUCCGUUCACAAAGACCUGGGUUCGGUCCCCAGCACCAAAUAAACUCCAGUGAUGGGCGGUACAUGCCUAUAAUCCCAGCUGCUCAAAGUUGGAGGCAAGAGGAUCAUUUUCCACUACAAGCUCAGGAGAACAAGAGGACCCUAGGCUACAUCAGACCCUGUCUCAAAAAGAAAAGGAAAGAAUGAGAGAAAAUGAGGCCAGCAAGAUGGUUCAGUGGGCAAAGGCACUGGCCACAAGCUUGAUCUGACUUCAAUCCCUGGGACCCACGGACUGAUGUGGUGAAAGGGGAUGGCUGAAUUCUGUGUGGAAUUGAGGCCCGGAGAGAUUCGGUAACUUUGGCAAACUGAUGGUCACACAGCAUCAAAUCCCAGUUUCCCAGGGGUGAAGACGGAAGAUCUGGCGGCAGAAGGAAAGGAUGGAGCAGUGAGCGGUUGGUGGGCCUGCCAGCUGGUCACCGCUAGUUCAAUGGACUCUCUAAAAGUGGCAUUCUGCGCCAGAUUAACUUAAGAGGAACAUGAAUUCAGACUUUAUUUUACUCUUUUCCAAGUCAGGUUGAUUUUUAGCAACAGACUCAUGACCAACUUUAUGCUCUCUAGCUGAUUUUUUCAAAUACUUCCUUGUGCAGUGCCUUCAGCUUACUCAAAGCAAGUUAAAAGGCCAGGGAGCAUUUUUAUUUUGUUUUGUUUUUGUUUUUUGGAGACAGGGUUUCUUUGUAGCUUUGGAGGCUGUCCUGUAACUUGCUCUGUAGACCAGGCUGGUCUCAGACUCACAGAGAUCUGCCUGCCUCUGCCUCCUGAGUGCGGGGAUUCAAGGUGUGUGCCACCACCACCCCAGGGAGUAGUUUCAAUGUGAUUUCAAGCUUACUGGCACUGAGACUUAGCAGAAAGCACAAAGGAACUCGGUGACCUUCAGGAGACCUGGAUAACUGGCAUAAGAUUUUUUUCUCUUUUGGGGCCCUGCCAUCACAAAUGAAUCACACGGAAUCUUAUUAUUACUUAUGAAUGUCUGACCUUAGCUUGGCUUGUUUCUAGCCAGCUUUUCUUAUCUUAAAUUAACCUGUAUACCUUUUGCCUCUGGACUUUUCCUGUUUCCUUACUUCUGUAAAUCUUACUCUUACUCCAUGAAUUGCUGGGUACCUGGGAGGCUGGGUGGCUAGGUGGCUGGGUGGCUGGCCUCUGAUGUCCCCUCCCCCUGUUCUCUCAUUGAUGCCCUUCUUCUGAUUGUCUCCUUCUAUUUAUCGUCUCUGCCUGUCAGCCCCAUCCAUCCUUUCUCCUGCCUCACUAUUGGCUGUUCAGCUAUGUAUUAGGAGCACCAGGUGUUUUUGAUGGGCACAGUAUCACAGCUUCACAUGGUUAAACAAAUACAACAUAAGCAAAAGUCACACAACUUAAAAUAAUAUUCCCCCACAGGUAACAGUCCUGAGCCUGCUGUCUCAGCUGCAGAAGUCCCCAAUAAACACUGAGCAAGGGAGUGAAGUGCUGAGAGACAUGGGCACUUUCCCUGGGUUUUCCACAGGCCUCUGCUCCAGCUCUGUUUACAGAACAAAGAGAAUGAAAGGUCUGAGUCCUGGUAACCAUCAGAGACCUUCAGUGGGCUGCUGUGAGAGGCAGGGGCAUCAGUGGUAUGGCCUGUGACCUCUUGCCUGAAUCGCAGGCCACUCCAGCAACUGGUCCUCUCAAUCGCUUGAGACCUCUUAAAUAUAAGCUUCUGGUGACUAGAGAAAGCUGUUGUCCCAAUCCCCAAAGAUAACAGGCUGGUAUCCGACCCAGAUUAUCUAGAGGGUCAUGCACGUGGGUCAUGGACCUGCUGCAUUGCAAAGACCUUCAGAGAGCCUCAGAUAUCAAACAUGGUUGGACAGCUACCUGGGAGACUGAGGUCAUAGAAGGAUCACACAAGCUCAAAAGUUCAAGAUCAGCCUGGUAAAACAAAACAAUACAAUUCUAACCAACCAACCAACAACAAACCCCCAAAUUCCUACAGGCUACCCAUCUGUGUUUUCUGAGUCAGAUAUAAGGUGCUGGACCCAGGGAUUCCCUAAGGAUUCUCAUGAAGAGGAGCCAGGUCUGGAAAAUGUAGACCUGGUCAGAUUCCUUUGUUUUAAGUUUGAGAUAGGGUCUAGUUAUGUAGCUCAGUCUGUCCUGGAAAUAGCUCUGUAGACCAGGCUGGCCUUACACUCACAGAGAUCCACCUGCCUCUGCCUCCUGAGUGCUGGGACUAAAGGUGGCUUAUCUGAGAAACAGUUUCUCUCCACUUGCUGCUUCUAGAAAGCAGCAGCUACUUCCACCUUGGCAUUCUGUGUGCUUCAGGGUGAGCGUGCCCUGCUUUGUUAGUCUUGUUAGGUUUGGUUGGUUGGUUGUUUUUUUGAGACAGGGCCUCUCUGUGUAUCCCUGGAACUCACUCUGUAGAUCAGGAUGGCCUGGAACUCACAAAGAUCUGCCUGCCUCUGCCUCCCAAAUGCUGGAAUUAAAGACUUGUGACACCACACCUGGCUUUAGUCUUAUUAGUUUUUGUUUUGUUUUGUUCCCUGAUCCCCCAGUCAGGGUUUCAGUGUGUGUGGUAGUUUGAAUGUAAUUGCCCCAUAAGCUCAUAGGGAGGGCCAUUAUUAGGAGGUGUGGCUUUGUUGGAGUAGGUAUAGCUUUGUUGAGGAAGUUCGUCUCAUAUGCGCUCAAGUCACACUCAGUGUCUCAGAUCACUUCCUGUGGAUCAAGAUGCAGCCCUUUCUCCACUCUCAGCUCCUUCUCUAGCACCAUGUCUGCCUGCACGCCGUCAUGUCCUGGUAUGAUGAUAAUGGACUAGACCUCUG